rnacentral:lncRNA from 1 species
AACACUCUUUGGUCGUAGAAUUCUGUUGGCAGCUGUGGGAGUCGCAGCCAGAUGGCCGUGUGGGUUUGGGUUGCAUCCUCGGGUACAAAACUCGGCUCCCAUUGUCGCACCGACAAAAAAUAUCUGGUAAUGAACUAGGGACCACCAUGUAAGGCUUUUAUUGCAUUUUUUGGUUUGCUGAACUUUGCCACAUAAAAAUCACAUUCGAG